GGGUGUCGGACGGUGGGCAGGGCCUCCUGGGAUCCCUGAGGCGCCGGCAGGAGGAGACGCCCUGGGGUCGGUGCCUCCACCUUCCCGUCCGGGCGGUUACAGCUUUCCCGUGUUCGCUGUCGGAGGCAGGGACCGGCGACCUCGGGGGCCUGGUCCCUGAGCCACAGCGGGGAGUCGUCCGAGCAUCUCGGGAUGAGGAAGAUCAAGUUGAAUCAAAAAAGAGGAAAGAAAGCCCAUCGCGUGUGACAGACAAGAAAGUGCUACCGUUAAAAGGCAAACAGUUCUAGAGUGUGCAAACAUUUGCAGUCCCUCUGCUGAUGAUCCUGGGUUUGGUUUGGCUGGGCUUGAGCAAAUGAGAAGGAACCAGGACGGCGCUCCAGCUUUCUGGGGAUCCUCCUCCAGCAUCGCCAAAGCCUGGGCCGGGCGCAUCCACUUAACUCACGGGGCAGGCUCCCAGUUUUUGAAGGAUUUUCACACCGCCUCCAGCAGCAGCCGCCUUAUAGACACUGCUUAGCCCGGUCCUGCACUUGCUCAGGUCCGGUCUCUGUAACAGAACACAUGCGCAUCUCGUGAUGGUGCUUCUCUGAUGGAGCCUUAGCCGAUGCUCAGAAGUAGACAACUGUGUUGGGGCGGAGGAGGUGCCCUGAACUCCAGCUCAGCCCUCCUCCUCCCAAGCCCUUCCAUCCUAGGAUCAACAGGAGCCUGUGACUGACUACAGCAGGAGAGCAGGCGUGGCAUGGAUCCCGUGCAAGCCGGCAGUGGAGACCCAGCGCCUGAGAGUGACGUGGGGAACUAGCAGGAGCUAGAAGUGACUUAGGACGAGCUUUUGUAAAGCGGAGGUGUGAGUAUAUCAGGAUGAUUUGACUGCAAGCAACAGAGAAUCAAACAGAAAUGGCCUAGGGAGUCCCUUCGUGGCUCCCCAGUUAACAAUCUGACUGGAUCAUGAGGAUGCAGGUUCAAUCCCUGGCCUCUAUCAGUGGGUGAAGGAUCUAGUGCUACCAUGAGCUGUGCUGUGGUGUAGGCUGGCAAACACAGCUCCAGUUGGACCGCUAGCCCGGGAACUUCCGUAUGCUGUGGGUGCAGCCCUAAAAAGCAAAAACAAACAAAAAAAUGAAACAAAACAAAACAAAAAAUCCACAAAAAAAAUCAGAAAUGGCCUAAACAAAGAAGAAAACAUGUUAUCCCAUACUACAAGAAGUUUGGGGGUUGAGUGGUUAAACGCAUGAUUAGUUUAGAAACUUGACAGCACCACCCAGGACCCAUUUUCCCUAAGGCGCUGCUGCCCCCCACCCUGUAGGCUUAGCCACCGCAGCAAAGACACCCCCCUUCCCCAACCAGAGCCCUGCGUCAGGACUGGAAGGGGCCUCCUUCCCUCCAUCCCCUUCCAGAACCUCCGCAGAAGACUCCCCUUGACGUCUCAUUCCAUCCCAUACUGGUCACUUUGCAGGGGAACGGAUUUACCAUGGUGGCCAGAGACAAUUAAGUCGCCCCCAUCUCUGGAGAACACUUGACCACUCAGUACCCAGCAACUCGGGUACCCCUGGCAAGAAAGAGACAGAUGAUACCCACUGGGUCCUGUCCACAGCGCCUGCCCCCAGCAACCUGUCUACCUGGAAAACUGAGGGGGUGCCACGCGGGUCUGUGUCUUCUCUGUAGUUUGCCCGAGUCUUUCCCAUUAGGUAAGUGUCGCCCUUUUCCCUCUUUGCGGCUUUCCUCCUUGGCACGUCACCCAGGUUUUGUUCAGCCACAAGGGGCGAUAGGCUGAAAGAGGAAUCUCCAGGCCUAGGUGAUGGGCCAGCCGUGGUGAUCCUCACCCGUUUGCCUGGGCACCGUUUGGGAAACGUCCCCCUGCUCACCACGGAGAUGAAAGACCAGGUCCCUGGAGGGGCUUCGCGGAAGGAUUUUUCACCCCAGUAAAGCGGAAGACAAGCCAGGGGUGUCCUGCCCUACGCGCCGUCUGCCUCUGAGCCGCCGCCAGCUCACACCCUUGAGCAGAAACGUUGCAGGGAGGCAGAAAGCGCUGAGUCUCAUGGAUCGUGCUGAGCGUUGCAUCCACCCAGGACUGCUUACCUUCAGACUUAUGCUCCGGUGGCAGAGCAGCAAACCCCUAUUGUCUUCAAGAGGCAGAAGACAUGGCCCUUGGGCUGCCUGAGAUGCACUGUUUCAUAGGAGGCCCCGUCACUGAAGCUGGGACUACCUCCGCCACCAAAGGCUCCCCAUGGAAAACUGAAUUAGAAAUUAUCUUGACCCCCCAUGGACAUCAAAGAAAAAUUCCCGAUGGAAACUGCGUGCUGAGUAAAGGAAAAAAAUGGCUCUUAUCCUAGACACUGUUGAUCCCCACUGACCUUCAGCGGCCCACCUGCUUCUCGGUCUUUGUUUCUGUCUCCAUGUCCUCUAAGGGCCUCACCCUCUCUCCAUGCUCAGUGCUGUUCUUGGGAUGCAACCAGUUCCUUCACUGAUGAGAUGAAAAACUGAAGGGGUGUCUGUCACAUUUCUUUUCCCAGACACCCCACACCCAGUCUCCACUCUGGAUUUUGCCACAUCCCCACUCUCCUUCCAAACGAUAACACCUGUUCUUUCCCCGAUCGAACGCUGCGGGCCCCUCUUUCCUUCCGUCUCUGUCAAGGCGGGAGGAGCAGGGCCUUUUCCUUGGAAGCCCUCCGCUGUCUGUUCCCUCUGGAAGGACUAGCAGCCUCCAUCCUGGUCCGCGUGUAGCUGUCUCUAGGGAUGAAAAUGGUUUUCAGAGUCAGAGGCAUGUUUGAGUCUCUGCUAUUCUGUAGGCACAUUGCCUACAUUCUCUUAACCCAUUUGGCGGGUGUGGAAAUGAAAGCCUGGAGAGAUUAAGUGAUUUACCACUGGUUCCAUAAAUGACAGGGCUGGGAUCAGAGCUGGGGUCUGUCUGGCCCCAGGGAUCACGGUCUAAACCUGCCUGAAUCCCUUAAUUUGAUUCUUAAUCUCUUAAUCCUUAAUCAUACCUUCUUCAGGAUAGCCAGAUAAGAUAAGAGACACAAGAUAGUUGUGUCUCUUACUCAGGCAUCCACCCCACUCUGUGUGUAUUUUUAUUUUAGCGUGAGCCGCAAUGUACUGAAAUUAAUAUCUCCCAAUCAGAUCGCUAUGCCUCUGGGGCCCAGGGCAGUGCCUGGUGUACAGACUGAUGCAGUAUUUCUUCUGCGGCUGUUUAUUUGCCCAUCGUGGCUACUCAGGCCCUUCCUUAGUCCCACUGAUGGAGAAACUGGGAUGGAAACUAAUCAGUGCAGUACUGGACAAGCAAAGGUAGCAUUGGGUUGGGAUUUGGGGGCAGUUAGGCAGUUACAGACUGUUUAGACCCUAAAAUCUGCCUGAUUGACCCUAGUCUGAGACACUAGGUCUCGUUUGAAUCUCCAAGCCUAGGGAAGCACCUUAUCUCCAUGAACAUAGCCCUAGAACACCAAUUCACAAAUGGAUUGAAAGGUGGGUGCCCCGGACUGAAUGUUUCCUGUGCCCACCUCCCCAAGUUCUUAUGUUGAAUUCCUACGGCCCAAUGUGAUGACAUUAGUAUGUGUGGCCUCUGGAGGUGCUGAGGUCGCGAGGGUGCAGCCCAUGUGAAUGGGGUUAGUGCCUUUUCAGGAGACCCCAUAGACCUUAUCGAGAGACUCCCUUGCCUCUUCCACCUAGUGAACUCGGGGGCGGGGGGCGGAGGCGGGGAGAGACACACACUGUGAACCAGGAAGAGGGCCCUCACCGGCCCGUACCCACGCCUUGAUCUUGGACCCCUCUGGAACCGUGAGAAAGAAAUGCCUGUGGUUAGUAAGCUGCCCGGUCAGCGGCAUUUCGUCACAGCAGCCGGAAUCGACAGUCAGCAAGAAUGCAGUUUAAUCUUUGUCCGCCUCAAUGCGAUAAAUUUAGAAGCUGACUUUUGUUUGUUUUGAAACAUGUAAAGUAAAGCUUGGGACAUUACUGAAUCCAGAUUAAGUAGAAAAUCAAAAUACAUUCUGCCAACAUCCCAACUCCACUAGAACCUUUUUCUCAAAUCCGUAUAGGUACAUGUUUAUGGAAAUGGUUAAUAAGUGCUUAUGAUGAAAAUGCCACAUCCUAUCUCAGUCCUACUACUUGCUUUCAAUCCUCUUAUUAUUUGUUCUGGUAUAUGUUUCUAAAUAUAUCAUUAUCCUGCUAUGUA
rnacentral:lncRNA from 1 species